UCCAGGGCGGCGUGCUAUACAUGCAGUCGAGCGGACAGAUGGGAGCUUGCUCCCUGAUGUUAGCGGCGGACGGGUGAGUAACACGUGGGUAACCUGCCUGUAAGACUGGGAUAACUCCGGGAAACCGGGGCUAAUACCGGAUGGUUGUUUGAACCGCAUGGUUCAAACAUAAAAGGUGGCUUCGGCUACCACUUACAGAUGGACCCGCGGCGCAUUAGCUAGUUGGUGAGGUAACGGCUCACCAAGGCAACGAUGCGUAGCCGACCUGAGAGGGUGAUCGGCCACACUGGGACUGAGACACGGCCCAGACUCCUACGGGAGGCAGCAGUAGGGAAUCUUCCGCAAUGGACGAAAGUCUGACGGAGCAACGCCGCGUGAGUGAUGAAGGUUUUCGGAUCGUAAAGCUCUGUUGUUAGGGAAGAACAAGUACCGUUCGAAUAGGGCGGUACCUUGACGGUACCUAACCAGAAAGCCACGGCUAACUACGUGCCAGCAGCCGCGGUAAUACGUAGGUGGCAAGCGUUGUCCGGAAUUAUUGGGCGUAAAGGGCUCGCAGGCGGUUUCUUAAGUCUGAUGUGAAAGCCCCCGGCUCAACCGGGGAGGGUCAUUGGAAACUGGGGAACUUGAGUGCAGAAGAGGAGAGUGGAAUUCCACGUGUAGCGGUGAAAUGCGUAGAGAUGUGGAGGAACACCAGUGGCGAAGGCGACUCUCUGGUCUGUAACUGACGCUGAGGAGCGAAAGCGUGGGGAGCGAACAGGAUUAGAUACCCUGGUAGUCCACGCCGUAAACGAUGAGUGCUA
rnacentral:rRNA from 1 species